GUAGGUGGCAAGCGUUGUCCGGAAUUAUUGGGCGUAAAGCGCGCGCAGGCGGUCCUUUAAGUCUGAUGUGAAAGCCCACGGCUCAACCGUGGGGGGUCAUUGGAAACUGGGGGACUUGAGUACAGAAGAGGAAAGCGGUAUUCCAAGUGUAGCGGUGAAAUGCGUAGAGAUUUGGAGGAACACCAGUGGCGAAGGCGGCUUUCUGGUCUGUAACUGACGCUGAGGCGCGAAAGCGUGGGGAGCAAACAGGAUUAGAUACCCUGGUAGUCCACGCCGUAAACGAUGAGUGCUAAGUGUUAGGGGGUUUCCCGCCCCCCUUAGUGCUGCAGCUAACGCAUUAAGCACUCCGCCUGGGGGAGUACGGCCGCAAGGCUG
rnacentral:rRNA from 1 species